CUUGCUUUUCUAAAGAUAUUUUCAUAAAAGUUAAUAAGAACAGAAACAAAAAAAUCAGUAUGAGGAAAAGAAGCAAAAUUUCCAGUUCCUAGAGAUCCUCACCUCCUCUGGAUUUUCACAUCCUCCAGCUGGUCCAGCAUGAGCUCUGGAGGCUAAGGAAAGGCAAUGCAGUAGCAGAAACAAGCUGGGCUGGCAUUUCUGUGCAGUUUGUUCAGCACGCUGAAUGGGAAGCGCAGGGUAACAGUGAGAGCACGAAUCAAAGUUUAUCACCUGUGGGGUUUCAGCUCCUGUAUCACUGGGUUAGGUUUUGAGAAUGCUGAGGUGAAGAUGACAUGGAGCCUGCCUUCAAAUAGAUCACACUUUAGCAGAGGAGAUAGUGUGACUUGUAGACAGCUGCAUCCCUAGAGUUACUUUAGAGAGCCCUGUCGUUCCCAAGCAGAGAGAUUUGUCUGCACAGCCAGCCUCUGGGUGAAGUACAAAUGCAAAAUAAAUAAAUGCCUUCUUCUA
rnacentral:lncRNA from 1 species